rnacentral:rRNA from 1 species
AGUGAACGCUGGCGGUAGGCCUAACACAUGCAAGUCGAACGGCAGCACAGUAAGAGCUUGCUCUUACGGGUGGCGAGUGGCGGACGGGUGAGGAAUACAUCGGAAUCUACUUUUUCGUGGGUGAUAACGUAGGGAAACUUACGCCAAUACCGCAUACGACCUACGGGUGAAAGCAGGGGAUCUUCGGACCUCGCGCGAUCCAAUGAGCCGUGGUCGGAUUAGCUAGUUGGCGGGGUAAAGGCCCACCAAUGCGACGAUCCGUAGCUGGUCUGAGAGGGUGAUCAGCCACACUGGAACUGAGACACGGUCCAGACUCCUACGGGAGGCAGCAGUGGGGAAUAUUGGACAAUGGGCGCAAGCCUGAUCCAGCCAUACCGCGUGGGUGAAGAAGGCCUUCGGGUUGUAAAGCCCUUUUGUUGGGAAAGAAAAGCAGCAGGUUAAUACCCCGCUGUUCUGACGGUACCCAAAGAAUAAGCACCGGCUAACUUCGUG